GAGACUGUCUGCAGUCAAACGCUGGCUCCCUCGGCUAGGAAACGGAGAUGAGCACCGCUCCCCAGAGUCAGGCAUGACUGGACCUGACAUCAAGUGGAAACCUUUACCUUUACCUUACAGGGAUAAAAUGCUCACUGAAAAGUUAAAUGUGGUGGCCUUCAGAGGUUCCUGCUAAUUCUGUAAUUCAACCAACCUGUUGGUUACAUGAACAUAUAAACUGUUACCACUGAUCUAAGACCAAGCUCAAACUUGAUGCAUUUGUUACCAGAAUGUAUGGGAAAGUAGCAAAGAGCUAUCAGGUUGACCCAGGAUGUUCACCACUAAGGAAGGCCAAGAGCAGUACCAACACUCUCAAUCUGAUUAAGGGCUAAUGCACACAAUAUAUUAUGUAAAUAGCUUGGGUGGAGGAUAAGGGCUGCAUUAAGAGUAUUGUGAAGCCAGCAGACAGCUGCCUCCUCCACAGGGCAACCCACCUGCAGCAUGCUGGACCCCACCCCGGGCCAUUCCGCUUCUGUCAAGCUGGCACUCAAGUCCCGAACCAUUCAGAUUUAUUUUUGAGAAUUAGCCCUGCAUGUCAGUGGGACUUGCAGACUCCCUCAUAGUUCUGUCCCAACCUGACGUAAGUAGUCCUUUUGUAAUUAAAUUAAUAGACGAAUGGGAAAAAUUAUUUAUUUAUUUAUUUCAUUGCCAUACUGCUUGACAGCCAAAUAGAUCAUUCCAUCCAGUAUUUAGGAAAGACACUGAUAGUGAAAUAUUGGUGUAUACAAAUAAAUAUAAAUGAAAUUUUAUCACUCUGAUAAAAAACAUUAGAUUAAUCAAUUUAAAUUCCUAAAUUGGUUGAUAGCUGUAGCAAAAGCAAUAUCUAUAUGUUAAUCUCAGGCAGUUUUUCAUGGAAUACUUCCACAAUGAGAGCUAGCUACCCCGAUGUUAAACAGCAUUUAGCUUUCCAGCAAUGUAUGUUGGGGCUGGAGCUGAAAAACUUUAUGGUUCCAGCAAGUAUGGGUUGGGAAUUUAACUGUUUCCUCCCCUGUUCUGGUCCUGAGGAAAUUCCCUUUGCUGAAUUUCUAUUCACACCAGAAAGAAUGACAUUGGUGAGAAUGGAGUGAAGAGUUUUUCCCAGAACCAGUACCAGCCAAAAACUUAGAAAUUUAUCUAAAAAGUGUGACAAGAAACAGUUAAAUUCCCCCCUUGCCUACCACAGUCCUCAUCCUCCCUCACUGUUAUCAGGCCUUCUCAGUGGAUCCUGUUCACAUUUUUAAAGCUUGCAAAUCAAAUUAAAAUAUGCAGUUGAGGUCAGUUUGGCCCUGAGGCUUCUACUGCUGUAUAACGGCUUUACUGGAUCCUGAUAAUUACGCUAGAAGUCUGUUUAUUUUCCCUCUGUACAAACUGCAUCAUUAUUGACAUCAUUUGGGAAUCAAGCCCAGUACAGAACCAACAGAUAACUGUAAAAGUGGUCAUCUUUAACAUGGUUUUAUUUGAAUCAUCCAUAUUUCAGGCAAGGAUAGUUCUCUCCUGCUUCUUCUAACAACUUCUUUUUAAACUGCCCUCCCACUCUAGGGUUCAAGAGCAUUAUAGAAACCAAAACAGUUUUUUUUCCUCAAAUGGUCUUAUCUAUUCAGUUGCAGGCAAGCCUGUUUAACUGUUUGACCCAACCCUGGGCCACUGGCAAACUGGGGCUAUGAAACCACCCCUAUCAGAAGUCCACAUUUCUGAGGGACAAGUCAUAUGUUCACAUGAAAUCACCAGGCAUGAUUUCAUGCACGUAUAUGGCUCCAGCAUCACAUAAGAACAUCUGAACAGUCAUGCUGGAUCAGGCCAAGUGCUGCCAUCUGUUCACACAGUGGCAAUCAGCUGCCCAUGGGAAACUCACAACCAGGACAGGAGUGUCGUCAUCUUCCCCAGCAAUUGCUUAUCAAUCUGUUAUGACAACUGGAAUCAAAACCAGAACAGCAUUGUGUGUUGCAGUGUGGGGUGCUACUAGUCAAUGAUGCUAGUCAAUGAUGCCCUCUUCCAGAAUACACCCUUCCAUUUUCUGUUGUAUCCCUUCUCCCAGUAAUCAGUCAGCCGCCUGAGCAUGCUGAGUCCCUGCUGCCUUACAGGAAAAUACUGGCUUGCACCUCUGCAAAUGUAGGGUUUCCCCAAAACCUGUGGACAUAUCCUCACGGGCCUGCCAGUAAAGCUCCGAGCACAGAGAAUGAUGUGUUACACGCACUGUGCGUUCUGAAAGUGCUGUUCCUACAAGUAACCACUGGGUCCUUGUGGUGGGGAGGGGAAGGAGGCAGAGGGGCAAGCCCUUUGUCCUCAGCAAGACACUGUCUCCAGCUUACCCUCUUCUCACACUGCCCACGAGGAUGACUUGCUUCUCUGCCAGGCCACCAUCACUCCUGGGACCCAUUUGGUAGGACAGAAUAGCAGCAACCACAUCUAUCCAAACAACUGUGUCUGAAGAAUCUGUUUGCCCCACCAAUCUUUGCAGUAACAGAGUUUAUCAAGUUUUACAGAAAAGUGACAGAAAUGUAUGAACUGAUGAAUCAGAUGUUUCGAGAGAGACAUAUGCUCACGUAUAAUUUAGUCAAUGUAGCAAUACUUACUUCCGCUGCUUAGAAAAGAGAACUAGAGACAACAUCAGCAUCAGGCCAAGUGUUCCAAAGGCCAUCACCAAAGGCCAAGGAACCUGGAAUUCUGACGAACAGAACAACAAAAACAGAUUCGUAUCAUUUUGCAGUUUUCCUUAUUUUCCUUUAAGCACAGUGCCAAAUCUUUCUACACCAUUGCAUUAAAGAACAUUAAUUUAUAUCUACUCGAACUAGUAGCAUUUUUGGUAACAUUUGCUCUGAAUACCAAAGCUUUCAAUUGCCCAUUCCAACUAUUUAAAUAUCACAGACUCUGUCCUGCUUCAUCUUUGCUUCAGAUCUAACCAGCUCUUCCUGGAAUAUAAGUCUAAUUUUAUGCUGUACUUAGUUGGGUCUUUCAGUGGUUUGCUUGGAACCAGCAAAAUCACUAGGAUCAGUUACCGGACUGUGGCACCUAAGCAGAAAUACCAGCAGCCAAAUGAUUUGUUUCCUUCCAACCCAACAAUUAAUAUUGUUUGGAAGGAAUACAAGGGCUUGCUGCUUCCGCUGGCCCUUCCCGCCUGCCGCAGACCAGCACGGGGGCCACCUGUGCUCCCCGCAGGGUCUCCAGCUCAGCCUCAGCCGGCAUUGCCGUUUGCAGAAGAAUUGGUAGCACUGUCGAGGAGGAGAGGGCAAGGAGAGACACUUCAAAAGGAGCCGGCCGAGAGCAGGGAGCUGCGCCACACCAGGUAUGCCUUCUGGGUGGAAGACUUCGCAACUGGGCCCUUUUUGUGAGCCUUUUGGAUUGCCCUGUUGGAUGUGGGUGUAACCCACACAGGAUUGUGUGGCUUUGUUUUUUUAACUGUACGGAUGGGUAAAUGGGCUUUGUCUGUGGGGGGUAGGUGGGUGGGAUUAUAGCUAUAUCUUAUUAUUGUUGAUAUUAUUCAAUGUAUUAUGUAUUGUAUUGUAUUAUGUAUUAUAUUUUGUAUUAAGUUUUGUUUUGAUUUCACAAUUAAAUCACAAUUAAAUAUGGUAUUGCCUGAUUGUAUUAUUGUAUUUUUAUGGAAUAUGUAUUUUUGUUUUAGCUGCCCAGAGAACCCUAUGGACUAUGGGGCAGCAUAUAAAUGUAAUAAAUGAAAUGAAGUGUCUGAACAGUCCCCCUUUUUAAAGAUGCAAGUUUCAUAUGAAUGUUAGACCAUCUAACUAAAGUGGUGGGUUAAAAGCCUCAUGUAGAAAAGCCCCUAGGUUUUUCUGACUGUGUUAUUAAUGAUGCUUUUUCUUAGCUUACUAAAUGGGAAAACAAAACAAUGUGUCAUUAAUCUAUUGUUUAUUUUCUUGGAGAGGUCUUUAACUGAACAUACUAAACAAUAGCAAUAUUUUGACCUAUCUUCCAUAUCACUUAUGGUGGUUUUAUUCAUGUGUAAAAUGCCAUCUUGAAAAACUGUUGCCAUAUAAUGAAAGUUGGGGAAAUUAUCUUCAAAA